UCCUGGUUAACCCAGGCAGUCUCACUAGAGUUCCCACCAUUACGUGUUGGCAACUAGUGAUAAGGGUUGCGCUCGUUGCGGGACUUAACCCAACACCUCACGGCACGAGCUGACGACAGCCAUGCAGCACCUGUGCAGCGGCCCCGAAGGGAACUAACAUUUCUGCUAGCGUCCACUGCAUGUCAAGUCUGGGUAAGGUUCUUCGCGUUGCAUCGAAUUAAACCACAUGCUCCACUGCUUGUGCGGGUCCCCGUCAAUUCUUUUGAGUUUCACCCUUGCGAGCGUACUCCCCAGGCGGUAUACUUAUCGCGUUAGCUACGGCACAACUGGGGUUGAGUCCAGUUACACCAAGUAUACAUCGUUUACGGCAAGGACUAC
rnacentral:misc_RNA from 1 species